GAGGGUAUAGCUCAGUGGUAGUAGUGCGUGCUUAGCUUGCACAAGGUCCUGGGUUCAAUCCCCAGUAUUUCCA
rnacentral:tRNA from 1 species